rnacentral:tRNA from 1 species
GGGGGUUAGCUCAGCUGGUUAGAGCGCCUGUCUUACACACAGGAGGUCAGAGGUUCGAGCCCUCUAUCC